UUCACUCUCUGUCCCCUAUUACAAGUCUUGACCUCUAUUGCAAUAGUCUUGAGUAAAGUUUUCCUUGCCUGUUUAACUAUGUCUGGUGCACGUUUUGACAGCUUCCGCCAUGAGAAGAAGCCUGGACUAGCCUGCUGAGGAUGAGAGACCGACCACAUAGAGCAGGACAUCUGAAAAGCAACCGACCAGAGAUAUGCAGUUUCUUUAAAACCCUCCCGCCUUCCUUUGAUCCCCUGGAAGAGGUGGACUUUGUGACCUUGGCCUUGGGGUAUGGAUGUCCCUGUCCCCAUCAAAUCUCCAAACAAAACAGAACAAAUUCCCCUUCCUGACCAAGUUCUCGAACAGAGGCUGUGAGGACACCCCCACCCUGCAUUUUCCUUUCUGCCUUUUGAGUCCAGCUGUUCUGGCUACGCAUUCCGCACUACCAGCUUGCUCCAGCUCCCAUUGGAUGGGGACGCCCUGAGGUCACCAUGGGCCUCAGGUCUGUCUCAUCAACCCCUAGAGGACCGGGGUCAUAUUCCUGGAAUAGCUCCAAGAAGCCCCACCCAGUUUUAGGUCAAAAGCUUGACAAAUAAGUAUUGUUUCAACAGCAGAGGCCCUGGCUUGAGAUACACACAGGGAGAAGAUGUCCAUGUGAAGACACAGAGACGCAGGGAGAAUGCUAUGUGAAGACAGAGCAGAGACUAGAGUGGUCCAUCUACAGGCCAAGGAACACCAAGAAUUGCCAGCAACCACCAGAAGCUUGGAGUGAAAUGUGGAAUAAGUUCGCUCUCAGAGCCUCCAGUAGGAACUAACCUUGACUGUGGACUUCUAAUCUCCAGAACUAUGAGAGAAUAAAUUUAUGUUGUUUGAGUCACUCGGUUUGUGGUACUUUGUUACAGCAGCCACAGGAAAUUAAUACACUUGGCCCUCACCUGUCACAGAUCUGCUGGCGCCUUGAUCUUGGACUUCCCAGCCUCCCCAACUGUGAGAAAUAAAUGUUCAUUGUUU